rnacentral:rRNA from 1 species
AUAUCAGUAAGCGGAGGAGAAGAAAAUAACAAUGAUUACCUCAGUAGCGGCGAGUGAAGAGGUACCAGCCCAAGAUGUUAAUCUGUAAUUAAGUUACGGAAUUGUAAUCUAAAGAAUUUCUCAGAAAGUGGAGGCUCGUCAUAGGUUCUUUGGAACAAGACACCACAGAGGGUGAAAGUCCCGUCUUUGGAUGAGCCGAAGCAAUAUGAGACGUUUCUAAGAGUCGGGUAGUUUGGGAACGCUGCCCCAAGUGGGAGAUAAACUUCUCCUAAGGCUAAAUAUAAGAUAGGAGACCGAUAGCGCACAAGUA